CUUUCUGACAGUUGUAAGUCAUUUUUGAACAUUUUUCCCACCACGGAGAAGCACAGGAGAAUUUUCCUUUUCUCUUUCAGAGGGUGAUGAUAGCUGCUCUGUUUAUGAUAGGUAGGAUGCCUUCACUCCAUCUCUGCUGCCAACUUUUAACAAGAUAGCCUCUUCUUUCAUGGUAGCAGAUGAAUGGGAAAGGAAGCUUCUCAUGACUGACCAUAUUUUGUGAAAAUCUUCAUGUAAAGUCUCACAGUUUCUGAUCUAAAGA
rnacentral:lncRNA from 1 species